GACGAACGCUGGCGGCGUGUUUAACACAUGCAAGUCGAACGGAAAGGCCCUGCUUUUGUGGGGUGCUCGAGUGGCGAAGGGGUGAGUAACACGUGUGUAACCUGCCCUUGUCUUUGGGGUAACUUCAGGAAACUGGGGAUAAUACCGGAUAGGAGCUCCUGCUGCAUAGUGGGGGUUGGAAAGUUUCGGCGGUUGGGGCUGGACUCGAAGCAUAUCAGCUUGUUGGGGAGGUAGGUGAUUUCAAAGCCUUUGACGGAUAGCCGGCAUGAGAGGCUGACCGGGGACCUUGGGACUGAGAUACGGCCCAGACGCCUACCGGACGCAGCAGGCGGGAAUAUUGCACAAUGGGCGGAAGCCAGAUGUAGCAACGCCGCGUGCGUGAUGACGGCCUUCGGGUGGUAAACCGCUUUCGCCGGUGACGAAGCGUGAGUGACGGUAAUUGGUAAGGAAGCACCGGCUAACUACGUG
rnacentral:rRNA from 1 species